GAAAGUGAGUCUAUUCAGUCCUGUAGGAACAAGGCAACUAACCAUGUAGUUCGUGGAAUGAUCCUGGCUCUCAAGCCUGUGUGCUACUUGUUCAUGGCAAGGUAGGCACAGAAAUUGAAGGAUUUUAGAAAAAUGUAUACCAACAUGAUAAUUAAUUUUUAUUGAAUCAAAAAAUUAAAAAAACAAAAAGAAACUAUCAUCAGAGUGAACAGGCAACCUACUAUCUUUUUUUCAU
rnacentral:lncRNA from 10 species